AGAGAAGAAGAAGGUGAAGAGGAGGAAUUUGGAGACUUUCGGCUUGUCCCAAAUGAUAAUGAGUUCGAUAGUGAUGAGGAUGAACACAGUGACUCUGGUAAUGAACAUGAGGCCUUGGACGACCAUGAGGAUGAUGAUGAAGAAGAGCUCCUGAGGCAAUCUGAGAAGUUGAAAAGGCAAAUGUAGGUGUUAUAUAUU